rnacentral:lncRNA from 1 species
ACAACAAUAACAACAACAAACAGCCCCGAGGAAAACGAUCAUAUCAGGCAUAUGACUAGCGUCAGACACUGGAGAGCGGAUUCUGGUUCCUGACAAUUCGUGCUGCCGCCCAUCUCGACAGCUGAACGAAUGAAGCUGUUUUGAACGGCGGACACACGCAGUAACUACUAUCAAAUGUCAGAAUCAGGCAGCAUUUGAAACAAUAUUCCAUAGGUUAGAAGAGGUUAACUUGGCGGCGGGUGUUUCGACUGCCAAUACGGCAUACAUAAGAGCACGUAACUCACAGUUUGUUGGUUUAGUGAGGUAAUUCCCGGUAGCUGAAUAAAUUGCGACAGUUCUAAAAUGUUAUUAAAACUACCCCACUUGUCCCUAGUUUUACCCAAUGCAACUAAGGGUAUCUCCAAUUGAUGGAACGCACUGUGGUAAAAACAAAACUAUAAUGUGAAAUCGGUUUUGUUGUGCUUAUAGGAUUCUUGCGCAUUACAAAAAAACAUUGAUCUGCGAUAGCUAAUGGGAAAUUAAUGUUUGUGAUCCUGCUCCUCCAAUUAACUGUGUACUCAUUUACCUACAAGGAGGUCUUCUACUUCGCCAAGAGAGGUCAACCUUUAUAAUAAUUUUCACUAUAUAGAGAUCUUCGUUAAUUUUUUUUCUUUUCCUUCUGCGUAUAACCUGGACAGUGCGCGCGCUCUUCAUUUUGUUUUUGUCUGAUUCUCUCUGUCUUCGCUUCCGUCUCUAGAACUGCCGCCAACAAGCGCUAGGCACACAAAUAAACCGACCGACAGACAGGCAAAAAAAAUACAGACCAAGCGUUGCUAUCCGGGGGUUUUGAUAGAGCGGUAUAAGGAGGGAAAGGGGCGUUAGUGACGGUUAGUGUAUUCUCGUUCAUCGAGCAGCAGCAGACGACGACGACGACCCGCACGCUCCUUCGAGUGGCGUUCUCUUUUCUCAUCUCGUUUGCUCGUAGCUCUCAGCUGCUUGCUUUUAGUGCCACAGCCUCUGCUUCCCGUAGGGCCAUCCGCUUGAGGGAGUCACUCGUAUUUUGCCCCCAUCACAGAGCUUCUUUUCCAUUUUUCUGUGCCUUUAAAUGAUUACCUACUGUUCGUAACGGCAGCAUGAAUCACUAGACGAAGAAAUAUCACAGGCAUUGCGACGGAAUCAGCGCCUCGGCAUUUAAUUGGUACAGAAGGAGAGCGACACGAUCUUGAUGAUAUCAUCCUACGUUGCCUUUGCUUGGCUGUUAGUUAUCUGGCAGGCAUCUGAUUAAUUGACCUACUAAUGGAGUACAGCUGAGCGUCAGUCUUGUGCAAGUGUUAAACAUCAUCAGAUCGUACAUUUUCAUAGCUUCUGUGUACGUGUAACGUGAGCUUUUUGUGUCCUGCUUUAGCCACUUCACCUUGUCGGUCCUUUAGUCGUCUAAAAAUUAGAUCAGUAAAAUUCUCUUGGAUAAUGCUGCUGCAGUUUGAAUCUGCCAGCUGAUCUUAUUGUACAUCUGAAAUGCGUUGUGCAGAACAGGAAACUCUGUGGAUGUAAUUAAUUUGUGUGGCACUAAAUGUGUGGGUUGAUGAAUAAGGAAAAAGGAAAUAUAGAACGAUCGUGUUAGGUGUCUGUGUUUCUGCUAAUUUGCGGAAUCGAGUGGACAGACAGAGGAAAAUAGAUUUCUGUCUACUACUUAUCUUCAUUUUUAGCAUUAAUGUAAUUAUCGUGUUUUCUCAUACACAAUAUAUCCUGAUGUUUUACUAAUAACAAAGGCCAAACAAAAAAACAGUCGUCGAUAGGCGUGGCUGGAAAGAAAAACACAGAGGACGCAGAAAAGCACCCUAGAAAGCCUCAGACAACAGGCAGAUCGUAUGAGAGGCUCAGAGGAUACACCGCCAGCUGACAGGUCAGGCCUACACGACAGGUCAGUGGACUACACGGUGACUGACAACCGCCCGAAUAGUAGCUUUUGAACACUCUGUACUAGCUACUCGAAGAAAAGCCAGUCUCUCGUUUAGCUGAUCCACGGCUGGUCAAAUUACUAAGUUACCUGUAAACAGGUUGUUGUAGCAGCUCGGCAGACUCAAUAUAAUAGACCGCAUGCCAGUGUGUUAAUGUUUUAACCGUAUUCACUAAUUGGCAACAAGGGGCUUAGUCCCACAUUCGGUAGAUAUCUGGAAAGAUAAUUGUUUAAACAGAAGUCUGUCUUCCAUGUUCCCGGCUGCUUCUUCUGUAUAGAAGCUGAUUAAUACGAUAGGAUCCGUCUAUGUGUGCCUGUUUUGAGGAAGAGUGUAUUUAGUGGUAAUUUUUUGUGUUGGAAUGGCGAACUGGUUCUGUGCAUGCGCCUGCCUGUGUUUCCUGCAUUGUUUGUGUCGAACAUUGUCGUCAAUGAGUCAGGUUCUGUCAGGCAGCGCUGGAAACCGAGUCUUUAGAAGUAAUUACCAACAACAGCCGUUACUGAAGUGACAACCACAACAGUCAGUGCAACGUAGUUGUGGAUAGGCUACUAACCACUGCGAUGACAAAAACCUUGAAGUUUUUGUUUCGUAGCGUGGUUGGUCUCCCUUUUUCCUUCCACCUCGAUGUGGAUGUCGUCGCCGUACGAUGGUCGUUCAUCUGUCCAUCAUGAUCCCGUUAUUAUUCCGUUCCUCCUUCAAUGAUACUUGUACCAUUGUUAUAAGUCGCCGUAUAUAAUAAUAAUAACAGCGACAACGAUAAUAGCAAGUGGGGCAAUGAUGAUAAUCUUUGCUUUGGGGCUGGAAGGCUGGGACUUACCGUAAACCUGCUACGUUUGUGCAUAUAGUAGUUCUUGUCGUAGAGAGCCAGCAACUGCAGGAGCUGUCGCUGCCGCCGCCGCUGUCGCCGCCGCUGUCGCCGCCGCUGCCGCCGCCGCUGCCGCCGCCGCUGCUUAAAGGAUGACUGAAACAGUGAGAUAAAAACCUUGACGCCGCCGUUAUUGCAGACGUCGGUGGUGUUGCUGCUGCUGUUCGUUUAUAUGCGAAGAUGACCUGACCGGCUCCCCCAGCACAGGUCGUAGUAACAGCAGUAGCGCUAACCGACGGGAGGAUCGCUAUGAUUGUUGGACGUCCGACUGACUGAAUAUUGCCACUAGACUGUGCGGUUCGACGCGGAACGCGUUGCAAUAGACGGCAAUGUUAUUUAUAAUAGCAUUUUAUAAUAAUUUCUAUAAUAAUACAACAAUUAUACAUGAUAUAAAUAGCGUACAGUUUUGGACUCUUA